rnacentral:lncRNA from 1 species
GGUGUUCACGCUUUGAAAAGCUUUCUGAGCUUUCCAGUGCCUGCUGCUUCCAGUCAGGCUGGAAUCCAAAAGUGCAAAGGCUCGUGAAAGUGAUUAAUAAGGAAAAAAACCAGACCCUGAGACAGGUUCAGCUCCACAACAACUCUGAAAUAAUGGGCUUGCAGCAGUCUCGUGCUUUCCUCAGAUGUGCAGGAGCUCUGGGACCAUAACUGGGAUGGAGAUGAAUGUUGUGAGUGGUGCUGGUGCUCAACUCUGGUUCUGCCAGAAAGAGAAAGGGGACAAGGCUUUGAUGUAGCACCGAGGACCCUCACAUUCCAUCCAGGCACAGCUGAUGACACCCCUCUGGGACAGCUGACAGCCAGCGAGGACCAUCGCCCCAGGCGAGGGAGGAUGGCUGGGAUGUGUCAGGAAGAGAUCCCACCCUUCUGCACCCAGGAGCCCAGUGAAAAUCCUAUUGGACCAUGGUGAAAAACAUGUUUUUUCCCAUUAGUGGAAGAUGACACUUUCUGUCUUGGAUUUCCUUUCUUCUGGGUUUUCCCAUGGAAAUAAAAAGGUUUUUCCCCCCCCGGAUGAAAUGAUCUCCCAGCGGGGAGCAGGAGCAUGCUCAGGGACUACAAUUCUGCCCCGGCCCAACACAGCCAGAAGUGCCGGGGACCGGCUCACACCUUCCCACCUGGAUCCACCAGGAAGGAGGAUGGCAUCGGGAUGUGGGACUGCAGCCCCUAGGAGAGGAGUCCUUCAAAUUCAACGUGUUCCGGUGGCAAUCCGGGAUGCUCUGACCCCAUCCCCGAGGGAAGGUCCCCUACCGCCAUCAUCACAAGCUGCCGCCCGCUUUGCUCCCCUCCUCGCCUCCCGAAAACACGAGAUAAUUGGGAACGGGAGCAAAAGGUGAGGACAGUGCUCCUCUCAGAUGUCCGAAUGUCAAAGCGACGCUGGCACAGAGCUGGUGGCAACAAAGGGCCGUCGGGAUCGAUGCGGCUGGCGGGGCCGGCAGCGGGAUGAGAGGCUGCUUCCCGGGAAAGCGAUGCCUGAGCCGGCGGAGCAGCAGUGCCAUCGCCUGGAGCCCUCCUCCAAGAUACUGUGCCUCAGGCGAAUCCUAAAGUGAACACAAACACACGUUUAUUUCGUUUUUCCACAGCCAAAACCUCUCCCGCAGCACGGGGACUCCAUGGCAAAGGG